AGAAGAGUGGUGAGACGAAGAGGAGUAACCCCAAAAAUCAUUCUUGCACCGAUAUUUAUCAGGCAAGUCAUUCUUUCUCCUCCUCAUAGUACAGCAAAAUCUGCAGUAAUAUGCACAUUGUUCCUUUUAAUGUUAACAGGUCAAUAGCAUAACCACAUUGCAGCUGAAUGCAAGCCCAUUCUCUACCUCUUCCAGAGACGUGAAAGACUGGACAAAUAAGCUAUUUUGGGAUUUUAAGCUACACAUUCAGGAAUAUAGCAUAAGAUGGCAAGUGUAGAAGUUGACUGA
rnacentral:misc_RNA from 1 species